rnacentral:lncRNA from 1 species
UAGACCAGAUUACUGUCAUCAUCUUGAUCGAUAGGAUUGAGGGAGUCAGAAUAUUCUGAGGUAUUUAAGUGGAAUCGUAGUAAAUUAAUCUUCUUUUUGCCGUGUAAAUUGGGAGUGAGCCAGCUGAUUUCUCUGCUAACCGAGAACUAGCCUGUCAGGAUAUCUGUUUUGCCUUACUUGCUGAGAGCGACACACAUCAAGAGAAGCGCACACCGCCCCUCCCCCAUCUUUGUGUUUUUGGAAUACCCUUGUCGAACUAACAGUUCCCAGCUGCACCGUUAAAUAUUUUUCUAAGCAGCAUCUGAUUUCAGUCUCUUAAAAUCAUCGUGUCUCUUGAAAGGCUAGCGGAGACAUGCUUCAGAUUUAUAAUUCAUCACAUUAUUUUUAGAUAAGGAAUUGGAAGUAUUAUUUAAGGGCAGAGGUUAAUAGCAAACUACUGGAAAUGUUAUGUUAGUCAUGGGCAAUUAAUAAAAAUAAGAAUCUGUCUCAUAAGUAUAGAGACACAGAAGUGACAAUAUGAGCAAAAUAUUUGCUGAAUGAGUCAAGGCUCUUUUUCUGAAAUAUUUGUGAAACCAGUAUGACUGUGAUUGUUUGGGAAUUAGCUAUCAUUAUUAGCCAUUUUAAAAGAACUAAUGAUUUUCUUCUCCAAAGAACAUCUGUGAUCCACAUGUUUUUUUUUCCCCCCACAUAUAUCCAAGUGCUAACUGAUCUCUGCAUUACUUUAAAAAGUUUCUAAAAGGAUUCAAAAAAUCAUUGGAGUACUUCAGCUUUCUUCAAGAAGAUUUUCUUACAUUAAUGGUUCUUAAUUUAACUUUUAGCAGGUUUUGGUUACAAGCUUUUAUUUC